GCAUUGCUGAAGAGUCCCACAAUAGGACGAAACGGCAGUCCAGUGC
rnacentral:hammerhead_ribozyme from 1 species